GGAAGACAUGCCCCCAGAACUCAGAGAUACCUCCAUCGUAGCCCUAUACAAGAACAAACGUGCAUGAGUAGCCUGUGACAACUACAGAGGGAUCUCACUACUCUCCACUGCUGGAAAGAUCCUCGCCCGUGUUAUACUCAACAGACUCCUGUCAUCUGUUUUAGAGCAGAACCUGCCUGAAUCACAAUAUGGCUUCCGACCAGAUUGUAACACCAUCGACAUGGUCUUCACGGUGAGGCAAAUACAGAAAAAAUGCCUUGAGCAGAACCUGAGUCUCUACAUUGUCUUCAUAGACCUGACAAAGGCAUUUGACACAGUGUACAGGGACGCAUUGUGGGUGAUCCUUAGCAAGCUCAGUUGCCCAGCAAAAUUUGUCAAACUGAUCCAACUCUUUCAUGUCGACAUGACAGGGGAAGUCCUAUCUGGUGGAGAGAUUUCCAUUAGCUUCAACAUCUCUAAUGGCGUGAAACAAGGCUGUGUCCUCGCUCUGGUACUAUUCAACCUAUACUUCACCCAAGUAUUACGACAUACUGUGAUAGAUGUAGACUUGGGCGUCUAUAUCAAAUACCGACUGGAUGGCUCACUAUUUGACCUUCACCACCUGACUGCAAAAACAAAGACAACAGAGAGACUCAUCCUGGAAGCUCUCUUCGCAGAUGACUGUGCUCUCAUGGCCCACCAAGUAAAUCAUCUUCAAACCAUUGUGGACAGGUUCUCUACCACAACAAAACUGUUUGGCCUGACUAUCAGACUCAGCAAAACAGAGGUGCUGUUCCAACCCACACCAGGGAGGCCAACGAACCAGCUGUGCAUUACAAUCGAUGGCCCGCAGCUUUCCAACGUCAACACUUUCAAGUACCUGGGCAGCACCAUGGCCAACGACGGGUCCCUAGACCAUGAGAUCAAUGCCAGGAUCCAAAAGUCCAGCCAGGCACUCGGGUGGCUGUGCUGCAAAGUCCUCCAACACAGAGGUGUAAGCACUGCGACAAAGCUCAAAGUGUAUAACGCAGUAGUCCUCAGCUCGCUCCUGUAUGGUUGUGAGACAUGGACACUGUACUGGAAGCACAUGAAACAGCUGGAGCAAUUCCACCAACGCUCCCUCUGAUCAAUCAUGAGGAUCCAAUGGCAGGACCGAAUCACCAACCAGGAAGUCCUCGACAGAGCCAACUCCACCAGCAUCAAAGUCAUGGUCCUCCAAACCCAGCUACGAUGGUCUGGACACAUCAUCCGCAUGGACCCACAGCGAAUACCA
ensembl:lncRNA